CCUGGCGACAAUAGCGCGUCGGUCCCACCUGACCCCAUGCCGAACUCAGAAGUGAAACGUCGUAGCGCCGACGGUAGUGU
rnacentral:rRNA from 1 species